rnacentral:rRNA from 1 species
GGGRUGUCAGAGAGGGUGAGUAGUCCCGUCUUUAACCGUGUACCGCGUCCAUGUGAAGCUCCUUCGACGAGUCGGGUUGUUUGGGAAUGCAGCUCAAAAUGGGUGGUAAAUUUCAUCUAAAGCUAAAUACCGGCCAGAGACCGAUAGCGCACAAGUAGAGUGAUCGAAAGAUGAAAAGCACUUUGAAAAGAGAGUUAAACAGCAUGUGAAAUUGUUGAAAGGGAAGCGCUUGCAACCAGACUUGUGGGCAGCAGUUCAGUCGUUAUUCUUAACGGUGCACUCUGCUGUUUCCAGGCCAGCAUCGGUUUAGGUAGUUAGUUAAAGGCCAGGGGAAUGUAUCUGCCCUUCGGGACAGACUUAUAGCCCUUGGUGACAUCUAGCUUACCUGGACCGAGGAACGCGCUUCGGCACGGAUGCUGGCGUAAUGGUUGUAAGCGGCCCGUCUUGAAACACGGACCAAGGAGUCUAACAUCUAUGCGAGUGUUUGGGUGUCAAACCCCUGCGCGUAAUGAAAGUGAACGGAGGUAGGAGCCUUUGGGCGCACUAUCGACCGAUCCUGAUGUCUUCGGAUGGAUUUGAGUAAGAGCAUAGCUGUUGGGACCCGAAAGAUGGUGAACUAUGCCUGAAUAGGGUGAAGCCAGAGGAAACUCUGGUGGAGGCUCGCAGCGGUUCUGACGUGCAAAUCGAUCGUCAAAUUUGGGUAUAGGGGCGAAAGACUAAUCGAACCAUCAGUUUUUGGUUAUCAGGUGGUUCAGCCAAGAGAUUUAUCUAUCUCUCAACAGUCCAUAUGGGCAACGUCCUUAGUGUGUAUGGGAACCGAAUUUAUAACGGAAUCCACAGCAGCGCUUAAGUAAUGCUGUUUACAGACUAAAGAGGGGCGGUCGGUUAAACAUAGUUAAAAGCCGAUAAAAAUAUAGUCGGAAAGAAUUCGAUGUUGGUUAUGAUAGACGGUUAAGUCUUAACUAUCUUGAUACCAGUAUCGUCAAGGAUUCUUUAUGCUGGUAGCUGGUUCCUGCCGAAGUUUCC